CAGUACUGAAGCCGAGUAUAUGGC
rnacentral:rasiRNA from 1 species